rnacentral:rRNA from 1 species
AUGGCGUCGCACAAGUGUGGCGGCCAGAUGGAGCGGAUUCAUUGCUCCUGCGUGCACCGGGCGCUCCGCGGCCUCAUGUUCAGCAGCAGCAACAAGGCCAGCAACGGCUGGAGGGAGGUGCAGGGCAACUUCAUCCCCUUCUGCUGUUGCCCAAUGUCGAGGACGGUCCAGGAGCCGCCGCUCGUCCUGGCGGUGGACGACAGCCUCGUCGACUGCGUGGUCAUCUCCUGGAUCCUCCGCAGCUCCAAAUACAGAGGUGGACACAUUGCUGGAGCCGUGUGGCACUCCUAA